GGUCUCUGAUGGUAACGUGGUAGGAGAGAUGGCUAUCCGGGACUCCUCUGGGCAUUUUGUACCAAAACCUUCACCAGUUUUCAGCAAACAUGACCAAAGCAGGUCGCUUAGUAUGAUAGACGUCGACCUGGUCACAAGAUGAAGUCAAAUUGAUAUUCCCUGGUACAGGUGAUAAUCAAGGCAGCUGAGACAUGGUUGCUGCGUAGAUGUCUUUCCAGGCCUGAAGACCAGCAAGAUGCCUGAAUUCAGUCCGUCGACACCUGAUGAGCACUGAUUUCAAGGGAUCAGCAUCUCCAGGAGUUAGAGCUGGUCUUUGGAUCAAAAUUUUCUCAACUUCAGCUAAAAGUGCCAUCUAAAACCUGACUAAUUUGUUCAUCAAGAGCAAGUAAUGCUGUUUGGUCCAGUCAGUCAUCCUGUGACACACUUCACUCUGAUGGUGACCCAGCUGUCAAUCAGAAUAAUCACAGUGGAAGAAUGAAGAGAGGACGAGUGAAUUUGCAACUGAAUUAAAUAUUCAAUGAUGAAAGUUUCUAAGAGUAGAAAAGCUCAUUGAGGAUAGUGUAAUUUUCAAAUAACAUGACUUAUGUAUUCUAAAGGGCUUUGUGUUUUUAUUUCAACCAUCAACUUGUAUUUGUAAAAUAAAGUUUCUGUAAAAC